rnacentral:antisense_RNA from 1 species
CUUCAACGACCCCAGCCAGAGCGGCUCCACCCGGUCCCGGCCGUACGUCGCCAACAACGCCCGCGCCUC